UACGGGGGGAGCAAGCGUUGUUCGGAAUUACUGGGCGUAAAGGGCUCGUAGGCGGCCAACUAAGUCAGACGUGAAAUCCCUCGGCUUAACCGGGGAACUGCGUCUGAUACUGGAUGGCUCGAGGUUGGGAGAGGGAUGCGGAAUUCCAGGUGUAGCGGUGAAAUGCGUAGAUAUCUGGAGGAACACCGGUGGCGAAGGCGGCAUCCUGGACCAAUUCUGACGCUGAGUGAGCGAAAGCCAGGGGAGCAAACGGG
rnacentral:rRNA from 1 species